UAAAUCCUAACCCUCCCACCAUGUUCGUGAAAGGGUUUUUGGGAAAUGAGCGUUUAGGAUGGUCGAAUUGGAGUACUUGAUUUGGCUCUGGUAGAAAACCCUAGAAAGUUUGCUUCCAAAUUUGCUCUUAUUUUUUCUUGUGUGCGUGCGUGUGCGCAUGUGGCAGAGGAAAUUUAGGAGGUUGGAUGUACCCAGAUUUGGUAUUUUCUGGUGCUUUACCUACAUCGGUACCAAAGUUUUAAUCCCAAUUUUGAGGCCUUCAGGUGUUGUGGUAUGCUAGGAGCUUAAUAAGGUAUCUCCAUGUAACAGGAAUCAUGUAUAUGUGGAAUCAUUUGCAUACUGCUCUAGCUUUUAUGGGUCGAUUUAGGUUCUUUGGAGUAGAUUUGAAUAUUUGAUAGAGUAAUGUUUCUCUUCUUAAAAUUGUGGGUUCUUCAUUGACUUGAUUCUCUGCCAUGUUAGCUACUAUUUUUAAGUGGAUCAGUGUGCUGGCCUCAUUUGAUGCUCUCAAAGUGAAUGAAUAAUACAUCAGAUAGUACUAAAGUCAUGGGCAUUGGAUUGGUUGAAGAAAAUAGGAUUGUUUCUAUGUCAGAGUACAAGGUUGCAUCAAUUGUGGUGCUGUACUAAUAUCGAGUAGAAGGGGCUUCGAUAGCCAUCAUCAGUCAUGUGCUUCCAAAAUGGAUAUUUCAUAAUCUUGAAUUCUAAAUUGAAAAUUGGAAGUACCUUAUCGAAAUGUUAAUUGGUCAUGCCAUCAUAGUUCCACAGUGUUUCUUAUUAUCCUUCUUGUGCCUGUGAUGAGACUUUGUUCUGUUCAUUAAUGCCGGUGGCUGUGCAAUUGAGGGUUGUGAACCCUCUUCAAAGCUUUCUGACGAAUCUUUCUUCGAAGGAGGGGAUGCAAUAUUGACAUCUGAGGAUAUAGUUUGAAGUGUGGUUGGACUGGUAACAGACCCCUUCAUAUGCGUGAUAUUAGGGUGACAGUUGAGAGUAACGGCACCUUUGUCAUAAACUUCAAAGGAGUAAGGGGAAGUCCCAUGGUUUGUGCCAUUUGUAUUCGAAAACGGUAGCAAUAGCAGAACAAGUCCUUGAUAGACAAGCUGAUCAACUGAGAAGUGUUUCCCAAAAGUAUGAUAAUGCCAAUAAAUUAUGGGCAGCUGCCAUAUCUAACUUGGAAAAUAAAAUCAAGGUCAUGAAACAAGAGCAAACAAUGCUAUCUCUUGAAGCACAUGGCCAUGCAAACGCUGUUCCUGAACUGAGUAAGAUGGUAGGGGCUGUUCAAGCAUUAGUUGUGCAGUGUGAAGAUCUUAAACUGAAGUACUAUGAAGAGAUGGCCAAGAGAAAGAAACUUCAUAAUAUUGUUGGGAGACCAAAGGUUCAGGACUGCAGGGAGCUUUUGUACCGUUCAACUCCACGAAUAUGGGCUGCUCGCAUGGUCUUCCUGUGCUGGCGAGGGCAUCGGCUGGUACUGCAGGCUUGGCCGCUGCAAGGGGUGCCGGCGCCGUCGGCAGGGCCCAGCUGUCCCUGCUCCCAAGGGACGACCAUGACUGUUGCAGCCAUAGUGGUGCCCACGCUUUGCAAGGCAGUGAAUGUGAAUUAACGACAUGGUCAGCCACAAAGCAGGUCUGCUUGGGGAUUGCCAGAUUAGCAAGAUCAGUUUCAUUGGUGGAGGUCUGUCACCUGGUGCACUUCGUCAUCGGAUCUUCCUCCUCAACUCCGUCAUGUGCAGAUCCAGCGCACGGUGCGUCACCGUUGUGAAUGUCAAACCGGUUCACCUUGCGAUCAUCCACCGGCUUCCUCGACGUCGUCCUUGAAAGCGACCCUGUGCAGGCAAACAUCUUUCGCUGAAAACUUCAGCAAAGGAGCAGUUGAAGAAUAAGUGAUUGCCAUCUUCGUCUUGAUGCAAGCAGAUUCCGUAUGCACAAUGUUCUUCAUGAGCAAAUUUGUCAUUGUUGGUAGUCGAUUUUUGAAGAUAAGCCAGGCAAAAAUUGUUGCACUCAGAGGGGGGCUGAAUUCUUCUACACAAAUUCCCAGAUUGGACAAGGGGCAGAAGCAGAGGUAUUGAUCUGAUCAUAUAGAGGCAGAGCCUUCCAUGUGAGAGCUUGAGUGCAACCAGCAGGCGGACUGUACUGUCAUCUAUCUUCUUCGUCAUCGAGGUGCACUGCAUUGGUGACAUCAGGUCAUGGGAGUGGCGAGAUGAGACUGUGUACUAGAGAUGCCUACUUUGUAGAUAUCUUGAGACAGUGCAGGUACCUAAUGACAUUGAUCGGCAUGGGGCGGGAGUAGCACCCUUGGACUACACUUUAUUAUUGCACACUAUUGAAAUUUAGUUUUAGACUAUGUUUAUGCAUAGCACAAGUUUUGCGUUGAACUUGUAAAGGUCAUUUAAAGUUCUGGUCCUUAUUUUCACGUGGAAUUUGUGGAGCUAGGAUGGUUUGGAUUGUGUGGAUUAUAUCGGUAUUGACUUUUCUUAUAACUACCUGUUUUCACAUGGAAUUUGUGGAGCUAGAAUGGUUUGUAUUGUGUGGAUUAUAUCGGUACUGAUUUUUCUUAUAACUGCCUGUCGUGGAUGUCCGUAUUUUUUAGGGGAGAUUUUACCGAAAUUUCUAAUAAUUUUGGGACUUAGGUUUUGAGUGUAUUUUGGUGUGGCACUCUAGGUACGUGGUUACCUAGGGUGUUACAGCCGCCACUACAUCCUUCGUCACCAUCGUCGAUGGCCGCUGCUGCGCCCUCUGUUGCCGCCGCCAUCGAAGAAACGGCGGUGGUGACAGAACAGACGUCAAGGAAGGCGGUGGCUGCAGCGACAAGAGGAGAACGGCACGUUGCCAGGCUCUCGAGCUCACCCCUCAUCAGUGAUCCGUUCUUCGCUCAACCUCGCUGUUGUCGCAGGCUCCAAACCUAGAUGACGGUACAAAUCCAGUGGAGCUCUUGCUGCUCGUCACCUCUCAGGCGGCCCAAACGGGGGACACAAUCCUCCUAUGUCGCCGGGACAUGCAUAACUCAAAUGGAGAAAGGCCAUGGAAGGAUUUAAGCAGAGGCAGGAACAACUAGAAUGUGCACUGCUUAUUCAUGUUCUUCCUUCUGUUUCAUAUUACUCAUCGUCGUCGUUCUAGGAUUUAAUUUUAUAUUAAAUUAUUUGUCGUUUUCUCGAUCCAAAGAAAUUUUAAAGGUGAUCGAUAUUAUUCCCUCCCUACCUACAGUAAUGCAGCAAUACAUAUUGAUGCGGUCAUAAUUGGCUCAUCUACUUUGAAAAGAUAAUUAAGAUGUAUCUGACAAGGGCAACCAUGUAAUCUUUCACAUCUUCAUGGUUUGCACGGUAUUUGCCUGGAUAACAAGUAAAUUGGAACAGAGAGAGUACAGUUUUAGACUUUCAGUGUGUUCCUUCCAAUAUAAGAAGGGGUAAUUGCUCAUUUCACCUUGUAGUCUAACCACUAAUUU